UCCAUCAUCUUCUUCAUUUUGUGGGUGCCGAAUACACCAUAGCUCCCAAUACAAAACUUUACUCUUACAUUUUCUCUCAAAACUUUCUUCACGAAAAUUGUCGGGAAUAUUGCGUAGAUCGUGUAGGUGUAUUUGCAUGUUGAAUCAAGAUCCAGCGAGUUUUGUUGCGGAAACCGGCGAGCAAAGGUUUUGAUAUUUCAACGGGUGGUAUUUUUAUAUUUGGAAUAAGCGAGUACUGCGAGUAGUUUGACGUGUGGAUUUCCAAUUUCUUGUUCCGGAAAUCCCUGGCUUGUAUAAAGUGAGAAUGACUUUCCUUUAUGUGUCUAGAGUUGCAGUAGCUAGAAUAAUGAACGAUUAUACCCUAGUAGUCGUUGGACUUAUUUAUGCUUUAUAUUUUAUUAUAACGCUUAAACUCUGAUAAUAUGUAAUAUGGGAAUGCUGUGCGUAAGUCCGAGCGACUGCACUUGAAUAAAAUGCGAUGAACACAUCUGCAUAGUGAAAUGCAGUUAAGUCCAUAGAGAAAUGGCCUGCAUAGUGAAAUGCAGUAAUUACCGUAAUAAGAUGGUAUGCAUAAUGAGAUGCAUGAUAAACCAUAAUGAAAUGGUUUUGAAAACUAAAAUGCAAUAAUUAAAGAGAAAAUUAUGUGCAUGUUUUUAAAUGGUAAUUUUCAUCAGAACGUUUUAAACUGCAAUUUUAAAAUGUUCGAAAAUGAUUUGAAUUCCGCGAAAUUUUUUAAGUGAUUUUUAAUGUAUUUUAAGGCUUGCUACGGGUUUCGGAGCAACCACUCCCAUUCCCUAGCGCCGGUCUCGAUGCCGAGAAUCGGGUCGUGACA